CCACUACCCAGAAGGUAGAAGAGAGGAAGUAGGCUCAAAUCCACCGAAGUGCUUCUGGGAAGCGGAGCAGGAGGCAAAGAAGUCAGCUGGAAGGUCCUCUGCUGGCAUCACCAGGGCCCAGAGAAGUGGCUGCAAUUAACGAUAAGGUCAGCUGGCCUGGAACACCCAAGAUGGUCUCAUUCCCAUGCCUGACAGUAGGUGCUGCCUAGCAGCAGGAGUGCCUCAGUUUCCCUCCACAAGGCCUUUCAUAUUCCAUUAAGCUAGACUGGCUUCCUUACAAGGCAGUCCCAAGGCAGUGUGCCAAGAGAGCAAGCCUUAAUGGGUUAAUACAGAGAGUAAAGACCAACACCACCG
rnacentral:lncRNA from 1 species